rnacentral:rRNA from 1 species
GAUGAACGCUAGCUACAGGCUUAACACAUGCAAGUCGAGGGGAAACGAUAGAGAAAGCUUGCUUUUUCUAGGCGUCGACCGGCGCACGGGUGAGUAACGCGUAUCCAACCUGCCCAUCACUUGGGGAUAACCUUGCGAAAGUAAGACUAAUACCCAAUGACGUCUCUAGAAGACAUCUGAAAGAGAUUAAAGAUUUAUCGGUGAUGGAUGGGGAUGCGUCUGAUUAGCUUGUUGGCGGGGUAACGGCCCACCAAGGCGACGAUCAGUAGGGGUUCUGAGAGGAAGGUCCCCCCACAUUGGAACUGAGACACGGUCCAAACUCCUACGGGAGGCAGCAGUGAGGAAUAUUGGUCAAUGGGCGAGAGCCUGAACCAGCCAAGUCGCGUGGAGGAAGACUGCCCUACGGGUUGUAAACUCCUUUUACCUGGGAAUAACGGGCGCUACGCGUAGCGCUGUGCAUGUACCGGGAGAAUAAGGCAAUCGGACUAAUUCCGUG